GACGGAGGAUGCAAGCGUUAUCCGGAAUUAUUGGGAGUAAAGCGUCCGUAGGUGGUUAGGCAAGUCUGUGGUUAAAGCCCGGAGCCUAACUCCGGAUCGGCCCUGGAAACUGCCAGACUAGAGUAAGGGAGGGGUUGAGGGAAUUCCCGGUGUAGCGGUGAAAUGCGUAGAUACAGGGAAGAACACCAGUGGCGAAAGCGCGCAACUGGGCCAUUACUGACACUGAGGGACGAAAGCUAGGGGAGCGAAUGGG
rnacentral:rRNA from 1 species